GGAUAUAGUUAGCAAGUCAGAAAACAUUCGAAUGAAAAUGCCAUGAGAGACAAAUUAGUCUGCUGGUUUCUUAAAAAUUUAGCUGUGGAUCCCUUUCUCCAAAUGAAUUCUUAAGGGGCUAUGAGCUUAGUCACUCAGACACGUCCAACUCUUUGCGACCCCCAGGCUCCUCUGUGCAUAGGAUUUUCCAGCCCACAGUGGGCUACCAUUUCCUCCAAAGGAUCUUCCUAACCCUAGGAUUGAACCCGCAUCUGCUGUGUCUCCCAGAUUGCAGGCAGAUUCUUUACCAGGUGAGCCAUCAGGGAAACUCUUAAGGGAUGGCCUAGUAUUUAAACUGUUAAGGUUGGAGCUCGUUGGGUUGCUAUGGGCAUGGGGGCCUGAGACCAGGCAGUGGCACGACAAGGGGAGACGGGAAGCCCCCAGCUGCAGAGAUGAGUGGGGCUUUCGUUGUGGUCUUCAGCACAAGCACCUGUGUUUCGCUGCUCAUCUGUCAGGGAAGGUAAAAGAAACUCAAGGAGGAGGAGAACUGAUUCAAUGGACCAGGGAAUGCAAUUGGGAGGGGGCUGGGCAUGGAAACAGCUUUAUGGAAAGGCUGGCUUUGUGCCAUUACCAAGAGGACAGAGCAACCUUGAGGCCCUUGGACAUGAAACCCCACCCCUGUUGCUCUGUGCCCGGGCUUGCACAUCAGACCUCCCUGGGACACGGUGGCCCUCCAGGUCUGCAACUCCACCAUCUUUCACGAGUCAGCUACAGUGAGAUGAAGAAUGGCCCUCUCAGAUUUCUGAAGACAGUCCACUGAAGACUUCACAGUCUGGGAGCCCAGGCCUUGUGGACCAAGACAACUGAACCAGUGCAACCUCCUCCAUGGCUGUCCCUGCUCCGGAGGAUGACUGGCCAGGAGGGCCGUAUGGGUAAAUUGUAAAUGGGACUGAGAAAGCCCUGGGCAUAAUCAGAAGCCUCCACACUGUUACUGCUGCCUCUAGGACUGGCUUAGCACACAGAGGAAAGACAUGCCCUCGGGGACAACAUAGUCACAGCCGGCUGUGUGAAUUACCCAUACCCGGCUCCAACCUCUCCACUUCUUAACAGAAUUGAUACACAGGCAAGGACAGCUAGGAUCAUUGGACACUAAAUCCUGAAGACAACAGCACUGUGACCAUCUUAGGAAAUGAAUAGUGAAAGUGUUGUAACUUCUCACUUUCUUGUGCUCAGUCGCUAAGUUGUGUCCAACUCUUUGCCACCCCAUGGACUGCAGCCCGCCAGGCUCCUCUGUCCAUGGGAUUUUCCAGGCAAGAAUACUGGAGUGGGUUGCCAUUUCCUUCUCCAGGGCCUCCCUUUCUUAAUGGAAGAUAAAAUCUGUGCAUCCCCAUCUAUCUCUCUGGGAGUUAGAACUCAUUUGGCUGUGGCUGCAGUGUUCUCGGAAGGCUGGAAUGCUCUGGAUUCCUCCAUCCACCACUAUGCCAGCACAUGGAUCAGACAAGGGUCCUCUGAAAACAGCAAUGUGCCCCCUACCAUGCAAGGAGCCCCUCUGGUGGACUGAUACAGAUUCAAGCCUAAAUAUCUGAUCAGUUACCGUCUCAAAGCAGAAUUCAGAUCCACCUCAUUUCUAUUAGAUUUUUCAA
ensembl:lncRNA